UACGGAGGAUGCAAGCGUUAUCCGGAUUCAUUGGGUUUAAAGGGUGCGUAGGCGGGCUAUUAAGUCAGUGGUGAAAUCCUGCAGCUUAACUGCAGAACUGCCGUUGAUACUGGGGAGCUAGGAUUUGGUUGCUGUGGGUGGAAUGUGUGGUGUAGCGGUGAAAUGCUUAGAGAUCACACAGAAUAUCGAUUGCGAAGGCAGCUCACAAAGCCAAGAUUGACGCUGAGGCACGAAAGUGUGGGGAUCAAA
rnacentral:rRNA from 1 species